UAUCCACCCCCACCCUCCCAUCCCAGGCCCCCGACUCCGGGGAAUUCCCCAGAGCCCAAUGCUGAGAGCUCCUCCCCUCAGGCUGAGUGUGAGGGGUGGGAUCGGGUAGGGCAGCAACGUGGCAGGCCCCUCCUUAGGCUUUUAAAUUCAGUAUUACGAAAUGGGACUGAGGAGGACUACAACUUCCUAUUUUUUAGGUUGUCGGUUCAUUCGCAUCCUCCUUAUGAAUAUUCAUAGAAAGGAAAAGAUGGGUGGUGGAGAGAGAGCUACCUCCGAGAGAGGAAGCCUUUAGUCCGAGUUCCGCCUCUGACAUCUUGCUAACCCCGGGACUUAAUGUCCCCACCUUCAAGUUCCUUGGACCCUACUGUAUUGCAGAACUGUAGUUGGUCCGCUUUGAAGAGGAGUCCCUCCCUGAAACCUCCCGAUACUGAAGAAAUCACAGACCCCACACACAUCCCUUUGUUUUAAAACAAAAGGAUUCUGAACUUGAGCCUUAGCAAAUACCCUAGAGAUCAUCUAAUGCAACUACUCUUCAUUGACAAAUGAGAAAAAAUGAAGCUCACAGUUCAAGCAUUGCCAAGCCUGAAGAUAGGGGGAGUACCCCACAAUGUUAUGACUUCAGUCCCUUUGAUAAGAGUUUGCAAGGCUGAGAAAUAGACACCAAAGCACUCAAAACAACCUUAAAGUUUGACUAAUGGGAUAUGGAGGGAACAUCAACCAGGAAUCUGAACCAGGAGAACAUUGUACACAGAGACUAAUACACUGUGGUAUAAUCGAACAUAAUGGACUUCUCCAUUAGUGGCGGUGUAAUGUCCCUGAACAACUUACAGGGAUCCAGGAGAAAAAAACACCAUUCAUAAGCAAAGGAUAAACUAUGGGAGUGGAAACACCGAGAAAAAGCAACUGCCUGAAUACAGAGGUUGAGGGGACAUGACAGAGGAUAGACUCUAAAUGAACACUCUAAUGCAAAUACUAUCAACAAAGCAAUGGGUUCAAAUCAAGAAAACAUCUAAUGCCCAGUGGAUUUACGCGUCGGCUAUGGGGGGUGGGGGGGAGGAAAAGAAAAUGAUCUAUGUCUUUAACGAAUAAUGCUUGGAAAUGAUCAAAUAAAAUAUAAAAUUUAAAAUUUAAAAAAAAUUAAGGAAUCUGAGCUUCAAUUCUCUGGGUAAGAACCAGCAUUCAUUCUCCCACCAUAGAGCUUGCUCUCCCACAUCAAUCUGACAAAAACAUAUAUGUCUAUAUAUAAGUCUGUCUUGCUUGUUUCUAUUUAUCAGUUCUUUUUCUGGAGGUGGACAUAUAUAAAACAUUCUUCAAACAA